rnacentral:rRNA from 1 species
AUUGAACGCUGGCGGCAGGCCUAACACAUGCAAGUCGAACGAGUGGCGGACGGGUGAGUAAUGUCUGGGAAACUGCCGGAUGGAGGGGGAUAACUACUGGAAACGGUAGCUAAUACCGCAUACCAUCGGAUGUGCCCAGAUGGGAUUAGCUAGUAGGUGGGGUAAAGGCUCAACUAGGCGACGCUCCCUAGCUGGUCUGAGAGGAUGACUGGCCACACUGGGACUGAGACACGGUCCAGACGCAUACGGGAGGCAGCAGUGGGUAAUAUUGCACAAUGGGCGCAAGCCUGAAGAAGCCAUGCCGCGUGUAUGAAGAAGGCCUUCGGGUUGUAAAGUACUUUCAGCGGGGAGGAGUUACCCGCAGAAGAAGAACAGGCUAACUCCGUGCCAGCAGCCGCGGUAAUAC